UACGUAGGGGGGCAAGCGUUGUCCGGAUUUAUUGGGCGUAAAGAGCGUGUAGGCGGCCUUACAGGUCAGCUGUGAAAACUCGAGGCUCAACCUCGAGACGUCGGUUGAAAACCGUAUGGCUAGAGUCCGGAAGAGGAAAGUGGAAUUCCCGGUGUAGCGGUGAAAUGCGCAGAUAUCGGGAAGAACACCCGUGGCGAAGGCGGCUCUCUGGGGACGGUACUGACGCUGAGACGCGAAAGCGUGGGGAGCGAAACAG
rnacentral:rRNA from 1 species